CUUUCUUUCUCUCAGUAGGUAAUGUUUUUGCUAGUAUCCGAGCACAUAACGUCCUCUACUUGUUAAGAUACUUGUGUCUCAAUUGACUAUAACCAAUCUAGAGGGUGGGGCACUCAUGUAUUCAACAUCAUUUUUGAAACACUCUUAUAUAAAUAAGAAAGACUAUCUGUCUUCUUUUGGUUAACUUAUAUCAUAGAAGAGUAAACUCCACCUUGGAUCUUCCCACCAGUCAUCAGCUCUGCUGAACCUACAGAUGAAAGGAGUGGUGGUGUUUCGUCCUGGAGAAGACUUUCAGCAUCAAAAGUAGAUCAGAGGUCAAAAGCAAGUGCUCAACCACAGACACCAUUCUGGUUCAAUGGGGUAGCACCACUCAGCCCCUGUGUUCUGCUCUGUGCAGCUGGAGCCUCUCCUGGACAAGAUAUGAGAAGUGAGGAUUGGAUUUUGGAGAAUAAAAUUCUUGUGUAUCAACAUGA